rnacentral:rRNA from 1 species
AUACGGAGGGUGCAAGCGUUACUCGGAAUCACUGGGCGUAAAGCGCGCGCAGGCGGUCUUUUAAGUUGGAUGUGAAAGCCUACGGCUCAACCGUAGAACUGCAUCCAAAACUAUUAGACUAGAGUGUGGGAGAGGAAGAUGGAGUUAGUUGUGUAGGGGUAAAAUCCGUAGAGAUAACUAGGAAUACCAAAAGCGAAGGCAAUCUUCUGGAACACUACUGACGCUGAGGCGCGAAAGCGUGGGGAGCAAACAGGAUUAGAAACCCCAGUAGUCC